rnacentral:rRNA from 1 species
AUUGAACGCUGGCGGCAGGCCUAACACAUGCAAGUCGAGCGGAGCGGCGGACGGGUGAGUAAUGCCUAGAAAUCUGCCUGGUCGUGGGGUAUAACGUCCGGAAACGGGCGCUACUACCGCAUACUAUCAGAUGAGCCUAGGUCGGAUUAGCUAGUUGGGGGGGUAAAGGCAUACAAAGGCGACGAUCCGUAACUGGUCUGAGAGGAGGAUCAGUCACACUGGAACUGAGAUACGGUCCAGACUCAUACGGGAGGCAGCAGUGGGGAAGAUUGGACAAUGGGCGAAAGCCUGAUCCAGCCAUGCCGCGUGGGUGAAGAAGGUCGUCGGAUUGUAAAGCACUUUAAGUUGGGAGGCGUUACCAACAGAAUAAGCACCGGCUAACUUCGUGCCAGCAGCCGCGGUAAUUC